CUUAGUGGCGGACGGGUGAGUAACGCGUGGGGAACCUGCCCUAGUACAGGGGGAUAACACUUAGAAAUAGGUGCUAAUACCGCAUAAGCGCACAGUAUCGCAUGAUACAGUGUGAAAAACUCCGGUGGUACAGGAUGGACCCGCGUCUGAUUAGCUGGUUGGCGGGGUAACGGCCUACCAAGGCGACGAUCAGUAGCCGGCCUGAGAGGGUGACCGGCCACAUUGGGACUGAGACACGGCCCAAACUCCUACGGAAGGCAGCAG
rnacentral:rRNA from 1 species